rnacentral:rRNA from 1 species
GCCUUACUACCCUGAAUGUGCCUAAUCUCCCUGAUAUUGUCUGAUCUUGGAAGCUAAGCAGGGUUGGCCCUGGUUACUACUUGGAUGGGAGAAAGUGCAGAGGUCCCUGAGGGAGGAUUGCAAGGAGGCU